GUGGGGAAUAUUGGACAAUGGGCGAAAGCCUGAUCCAGCCAUGCCGCGUGUGUGAAGAAGGCCUUUUGGUUGUAAAGCACUUUAAGCGAGGAGGAGGCUACCGAGAUUAAUACUCUUGGAUAGUGGACGUUACUCGCAGAAUAAGCACCGGCUAACUCUGUGCCAGCAGCCGCGGUAAUACAGAGGGUGCGAGCGUUAAUCGGAUUUACUGGGCGUAAAGCGUGCGUAGGCGGCUUUUUAAGUCGGAUGUGAAAUCACUGAGCUUAACUUAGGAAUUGCAUUCGAUACUGGGAAGCUAGAGUAUGGGAGAGGAUGGUAGAAUUCCAGGUGUAGCGGUGAAAUGCGUAGAGAUCUGGAGGAAUACCGAUGGCGAAGGCAGCCAUCUGGCCUAAUACUGACGCUGAGGUACGAAAGCAUGGGGAGCAAACAGGAUUAGAAACCCUUGUAGUCC
rnacentral:rRNA from 1 species